CGGCGGACGGGUGAGUAACGCGUGGGUAACCUACCCUGUACACACGGAUAACAUACCGAAAGGUAUGCUAAUACGGGAUAAUAUAUUUGAGAGGCAUCUCUUGAAUAUCAAAGGUGAGCCAGUACAGGAUGGACCCGCGUCUGAUUAGCUAGUUGGUAAGGUAACGGCUUACCAAGGCGACGAUCAGUAGCCGACCCGAGAGGGUGAUCGGCCACAUUGGAACUGAGACACGGUCCAA
rnacentral:rRNA from 1 species